rnacentral:rRNA from 1 species
UACGGGGGGAGCAAACGUUGUUCGGAAUCACUGGGCGUAAAGGGCGUGUAGGCGGCUGGAUAAGUGGGAUGUUAAAUCCCCCGGCUCAACCGGGGACCUGCAUCUCAUACUGUUCAGCUCGAGCACAUCAGAGGAGACUGGAAUUCCCGGUGUAGCGGUGAAAUGCGUAGAUAUCUGGAGGAACACCGGUGGCGAAGGCGGCAUCCUGGACCGAGAUCGACGCUGAGGCGCGAAAGCUAGGGGAGCAAACGGG